AUGGCAUUGGACGUGCUCCUCAGGCUGCUGAUCCUCGCGGCCGUCGCGAGCGCCAUGCCGGUGCCGGGCCCCACGGACCCCGCCGCCGCCGGGCUCGCCAUCGGGUUCUACAACAAGACGUGCCCGAAAGCGGAGGAGCUGGUGCUGGAGGAGAUGCGGGACAUCGUCCACGAGGACCGGACCCUCGGCCCGGCGCUGCUGCGGCUUCUCUUCCACGACUGCUUCGUCAGGGUGCGUGCUGCGCUGCUUCUUUGCCGUGCCGUGCCGCGUCGCGUGCACGGGUCGUCUGAAUGUGUUUCGCUUAACUUGAACUGGAUGCGUGGUCUGCAGGGGUGCGACGGGUCGAUCAUGCUGAAAUCGAGGAGCAAGAAGGGGGAGAGGGACGCCAUGCCGAUGAGCUACAGCCUCCGCGGCUUCGAUGAGGUCGAGAGGAUCAAGGCGAAGCUGGAGGACGAGUGCCCGCUCACCGUGUCCUGCGCAGACAUCAUCAUCAUGGCCGCGCGGGACGCCGUGUACCUGAGCAACGGGCCACGGUUCCCGGUGGAGACCGGGCGCCGGGACGGCAAGGUGUCCCUGUGCAUCGACGCCGAGAACGACCUGGCGCCGCCGCACGCCAACAUCGUGGACCUGAAAACCUACUUCAGCGUGAAGAACCUGUCGUGGAAGGACCUGGUGGUGCUGUCGGGGAGCCACACGAUCGGGAGGGCGCAGUGCGCGGCGUUCGCGCCGGACCGGCUCUACAACAACAGCGGCCUAGGGGUGCAGGACCCGACGCUGGACAAGGCGUACGCCCCGGAGCUGCGGGAGAGGUGCGAGCCAGGGAACAAGGAAGACGAAACGCUCGUCGACAUGGACCCCAAGAGCCCCUACGAGUUCGACCUCAGCUACUACCGGGACGUGCUCAGCAACAAGACCCUGUUCGUCUCCGACCAGGCGCUGCUCGACGACAGGUGGACGAGGGACUACGUGGCGAGGAUGGCGGCCGCCGAGUCGACGGAGGAGUACUUCGAGGACUACGCCGCCGCCAUGAUCAACAUGGGCAGGAUGGAGGUGCUCACCGGCGGCAACGGGGAGAUCAGGAAAUUCUGCAGCGCGUACGUUGACUAA
rnacentral:rRNA from 1 species